CAAAGCGAGAAGAAGUGGAAAUUAUAGGAAAUUGGAGAAAGAAAGAGGGAGUAGAGGUGGACGGAACGCAAAAUGUGAACCAACCUUUGUGAUCUCUUACUUCAAUUCCCUCCACCAGCACCACCAGCACCACCACCAGCACCACCGACCUCCCCACCUUCUCCUCCUUAUUCUUCGUCUUCCCGCCCAUUGAAUCCUCCAAUUACAUAUAUAUAUAGAGACUUGUAUAUACGUAUUCAUUGAUUUGUAAUUUGGUGGCAUCAUCCAUAUAGUGUCACCUAGAAGAAAAAAUGUCUCUAAACAUGAAAACCCUAACCCAAGCGCUUGCCAAGACGGCAGCAGUGAUCGAGAAGACCGUGCAGACCACCGUACAGGAAGUAACCGGUCCAAAGCCCUUGCAGGACUAUGAGCUCCUCGACCAGAUCGGCUCCGCUGGACCUGGUCUCGCUUGGAAAUUAUACUCUGCUAAGGCUGCACGUGAGUCCACGCGCGCGCACCAGUACCCUACCGUGUGUGUUUGGGUGCUAGACAAGAGGACAUUGUCGGAGGCUCGUGUUCGGGCGGGACUGUCGAAGGCGACGGAGGACGCCUUUUUGGAUGUGAUUCGGGCUGAUGCAGCGAGGCUAGUGAGGCUGAGACACCCGGGAGUGGUGCACGUGGUGCAGGCGUUGGAUGAGAAUAAGAAUGCGAUGGCUAUGGUAACGGAGCCACUUUUUGCGUCAGCAGCCAAUGCGCUGGGGAAUAUGGAGAAUGUGGCGAAGGUGCCUAAGGAGCUGAAGGGAAUGGAAAUGAGUUUAUUGGAGGUGAAACAUGGUUUACUUCAAGUUGCUGAAACCUUAGACUUUCUCCACAACAAUGCGCAUCUCGUUCAUCGGGCAAUAUCGCCUGAGAAUAUCCUAAUCACUUCAAUAGGAGCAUGGAAGCUUAGUGGAUUUGGCUUUGCAAUCACAACAGACCAGGCUUCAGGCAACUUGCCUAGUUCUCAGGCCUUUCAUUAUGCUGAGUAUGAUGUUGAGGAUUCUAUAUUGCCACUUCAGCCAUCUAUAAAUUAUACUGCUCCUGAACUUAUUCGAAGCAAAUCACCUUCAGCUGGAUGCUCUUCUGAUAUUUUCAGUUUUGGAUGUCUUGCGUACCAUUUGACUGCUCGCAAGCCUUUGUUUGACUGCCACAACAAUGUCAAGAUGGUGAUCUUACGGUACUCUUAGCAAGGUUCUUUUUGCCUUUGGGGUGAUAGGUGCUGAUGGAAAUUACUCAACGUUCCUGUGGUUGUUUUGAAGUGUAUACAUAGAGAGUACAUGAAUACCUUGAAUUACUUGUCCAGUGAAGCUUUCUCCUCUAUUCCGCAAGAUUUAGUUCCUGACCUGCAGAGGAUGAUCUCAGCAAAUGAGUCUUUCAGGCCAACAGCAAUGGAUUUUACAGGUUCUCCAUUUUUCCGGAAUGACACUAGGUUGCGUGCUCUUCGCUUCCUGGACCACAUGCUUGAAAGAGAUAACAUGCAGAAGUCCGAGUUCUUAAAAGCAUUAUCAGAUAUGUGGAAAGAUUUUGACUCCCGUGUAUUGCGGUACAAGGUACUUCCACCAUUAUGUGCAGAACUUAGGAAUAUGGUGAUGCAACCAAUGAUUCUCCCCAUGGUUCUCACAAUAGCAGAAUCUCAGGAUAAAAAUGAUUUUGGGCUAUCGACAUUUCCAGCUCUUAUUCCUGUCCUGAAUACCGCUACAGGCGAGACACUUCUGCUUCUUGUAAAGCGUGCUGAACUUAUUAUUAACAAGUUUGGACUUGCAACUUGCGACCUCAAGAUGCAGGACUGAAAUUUGAGAGUGGCAACUUCGUUCAAAGAUGCCGUGGGACUUUAUUCAAAUUCUCUCUCAGGAAUCCAUUUUGAUGGGACAAUAUCACCCUUUAUUUAGUUUUAAUUUAUUUUUCAAUUAUUUUUUAACAGUUUGAUGGUACCUUUUAUCUUGUUUUUGCUGGAAACUUUGGUUGUUGAUUUUUCCCCCCUUACAGUCUGUGGCUGGGGCUUUGAUUUUGUUAGUAAUGUUUCAAGCCUUAAUAUUAAUUGGUCCAGUGUCCAUACAUCCUGUAAAAUGAAAGGGGAUUUGGGAUAUGGAUCCUGGGUUCAAGCCUGAGCAAUAGGUAGCACGAAGCAUAAGUAUUCUCUCAGUUGCUGAACCGCUGAAGUUAAAAAUUUAAUAUGAUUUGGAAAAGCUUCUCAUGCCAACCCUAUUACAUGGCUGGAUUUUUGCAUUCUUCCCAAAAACUCUUACUUUAGAAUCAUCAAAUCAUUAUUGCAAUUUCCUGCCAUGUUAUUGUUUAUAGUAAAAGAUUUUGGGGUGUGCAGCUGAUAGAUUGUAGACAUGAGUCUUGUGAUCAGCUUAAUGCAAAAAUUCUGGUUCUAAAUUCUCUUCCCUAGGACCUUUAUUUGAAUUUCAUUGUCCUUUUAAAUUAUUAUUUUUUUUAACUAAAAGGGUUUUUAGGCCCAUAGGGUUUAGGGUUCUGAAAUUUUAUAAUCUUGUCAAGUUAUUAAAACAUAGACUAUAAAAUUCUCCUUCUAAAGGAGGAAGGUUGAUGUCUAAAUUAUUUUGACAUGUAUCAAUGAAUCAUAGCUGGCUUAUGGAUUUAGUUUCUCUUCUUCUGUACUUCUGUUUGUGUGUUUCUUAGCUGAAUUACCAAUAAGAAUAUUAAACUAUUAGCUUUGAAUGGCAUCUUUGUUUUUGUCCCUUUCCCUUCAUUGUCUGUGCCUCUCCCCUCCUUUAUUGCAUUUAUAAACAUCUUUUCCACCUUGAAUCAUACUCAGUACUGAUAGUCUCUUAUCUAAUUGUUGUAGACAAGUCAGGAGCACUUAAUAUCCUGUGUCCUGCCACUGCUUGUACGAGCUUAUGAUGAUACUGAUCCACGCAUUCAAGAGGAAGUCCUGAAA
rnacentral:misc_RNA from 1 species